UACGUAGGGAGCGAGCGUUGUCCGGAAUGAUUGGGCGUAAAGGGCGUGUAGGCGGCCAUUUAAGUCUGGAGUGAAAUUCCUGCUUUCAAGGUGGGAACUGCUUUGGAAACUGGAUGGCUUGAGUAUGGGAGAGGUUAUCGGAAUUCCCGGUGUAGCGGUGAAAUGCGUAGAGAUCGGGAGGAACACCAGUGGCGAAGGCGGGUAACUGGACCAUAACUGACGCUGAGGCGCGAAAGUGUGGGGAGCAAACAGG
rnacentral:rRNA from 1 species